AUGCCCUUUGGGUGACAUAAAACACAUUCUAAAUAAUCAAUGGUAAUCAAUGGCUCCUCAUAAAAAUUAUGUAUUGGGAUGUUUGUGUGCAGCAUUUUGCAUAUCAGCAUAAGCAUUUGUUAGCAAAGCAUUCUUCAUUGUAUCAGCGUGUGUGUGUGUGCGCAUCACUCUUUAUUGCACAAGCGUGUGCAUGUGUAUGUGUGUGGAUCACUUCUCAGUGAAUUGAAUCAGCAUUUUGAUGUGUGUGUUCAUUUUGUACUCAAUCAACGAGUGCACAUAUGUUCAUGUGUGUGUUUCUUUUCAUCAGUGUAUGUAGAUGUGUGUGUUUGUGUGUGUUUGUGUUCAUCACUUUCCUGUUCUGGUGUCUUGGGUAAACCACAGCCUGAAGCGUGUCCUGGGGUCCUGCCCUCCUCCUUUUCAGUCUGUUUGCGACCAUUGGUGCUGCUGCUGCUCGAAGUUCAGUCCGUCCUGGUUCUGACCCCAAUUGGGGCAGUCCUUCCUCCAAUGUCCAUGCUCACCGCAGGUGAAAUCUGCAACUUCUUCUGUGUUUUUGUCCAUUCUGAGGUGCCUUCUGACCUCACUUGCUCCUCCUGUCUCGGCCACGCCCCUUUUGCUGCCCGAGCAUGCGUGUUGGUCCAUCACUGUCCUGCACAGUGUUAAUGCAGAGUUAUCAAGAUCAGCAUUCUUUUGUUCGGCCUUACUUUUCACUCGGGCUUGGCGGGCGUGUCGUCACAGCUCUGUCAGCUGACGCAGUCUGAGAAUUUUCCCCCGUGUAGUGAAACGGGCCUUAGGUUUAGUGCUCUCCGUCUCUGCUGCAUGAGAUCGCAUUCCUGCAGCACUGUUGACAUUUUCAGGUUGUUGUUGUGGGUCCAGCUGUUGCAGCAUUUGGUCAGGGUCACGUAGAGGGGAGAGCAGGAGUCCAGGGCACGCUUCAGGCUGUGGUUUACCCAAGACACCAGAACAGGAAAGUGAUGAACACAAACACACACAAACACACACAUCUACAUACACUGACUCAGAAUGAAGAGAAACACACACAUGAACAGAUGUGCACUCGUUGAUUGAGUGAAAAAUGACACACACACACACACAUCAAAAUGCUGAUUCACUGAGAAGUGAUCCACACACAUACACAUGCACACGCUUGUGCAAUAAAGAGUGAUGCGCACACACACACACGCUGAUGCAAUGAAGAAUGCUUUGCUAACAAAUGCUUAUGCUGAUAUGCAAAAUGCUGCACACAAAUAUCCCAAUACAUAAUUUUUAUGAGGAGCCAUUGAUUACCAUUGAUUACCUAAAAUGUGUUUUAUGUCACCCAAAG
ensembl:lncRNA